rnacentral:rRNA from 1 species
UACAGAGGUCCCGAGCGUUGUUCGGAUUCAUUGGGCGUAAAGGGUGCGUAGGCGGCGGGGUAAGUUUGAUGUGAAAUUCCGGGCUCAACCCUGGCAUGGCAUUGAAUACUACCUUGCUAGAGUACCGGAGAGGAAACUGGAAUUUACGGUGUAGCAGUGAAAUGCGUAGAGAUCGUAAGGAAGACCAGUGGCGAAGGCGAGUUUCUGGACGGUAACUGACGCUGAGGCACGAAGGCCAGGGGAGCAAACGGG